rnacentral:rRNA from 1 species
GACGAACGCUGGCGGCGUGCUUAACACAUGCAAGUCGAACGAAGUGGCGAACGGGUGAGUAACGCGUAAUCAACCUGCCCUUCAGAGGGGGACACCAGUGGAAACCGACUGUUAUAACGCCAACCUGAGGGAGGGGUUUGGGUCGGUUUAGCUAGUUGGAGGGGUAACGGCCCACCAAGGCGAGGAUCAGUAGCCGGGCUGGGAGGAUGAACGGCCACAUUGGGACUGGGACACGGCCCAGACUCCUACGGGAGGCAGCAGUGGGGAAUCUUCCGCAAUGGACGAAAGUCUGACGGAGCAACGCCGCGUGAGUGAUGACGGCCUUCGGGUUGUAAAGCUCUGUUAAUCGGGACGCGGUACCGGAAUAGAAAGCCACGGCUAACUACGUGCCAGCAGCCGCGGUAAUAC